rnacentral:rRNA from 1 species
GGUGGGGUAACGGCUCACCUAGGCGACGAUCCCUAGCUGGUCUGAGAGGAUGACCAGCCACACUGGAACUGAGACACGGUCCAGACUCCUACGGGAGGCAGCAGUGGGGAAUAUUGCACAAUGGGCGCAAGCCUGAUGCAGCCAUGCCGCGUGUAUGAAGAAGGCCUUCGGGUUGUAAAGUACUUUCAGCGGGGAGGAAGGGAGUAAAGUUAAUACCUUUGCUCAUUGACGUUACCCGCAGAAGAAGCACCGGCUAACUCCGUGCCAGCAGCCGCGGUAAUACGGAGGGUGCAAGCGUUAAUCGGAAUUACUGGGCGUAAAGCGCACGCAGGCGGUUUGUUAAGUCAGAUGUGAAAUCCCCGGGCUCAACCUGGGAACUGCAUCUGAUACUGGCAAGCUUGAGUCUCGUAGAGGGGGGUAGAAUUCCAGGUGUACGCGGUGAAAUGCGUAGAGAUCUGGAGGAAUACCGGUGGCGAAGGCGGCCCCCUGACGAAGACUACGUCAG